GAUGAACGCUGGCGGCGUGCCUAAUACAUGCAAGUCGAGCGAACGGACGAGAAGCUUGCUUCUCUGAUGUUAGCGGCGGACGGGUGAGUAACACGUGGAUAACCUACCUAUAAGACUGGGAUAACUUCGGGAAACCGGAGCUAAUACCGGAUAAUAUUUUGAACCGCAUGGUUCAAAAGUGAAAGACGGUCUUGCUGUCACUUAUAGAUGGAUCCGCGCUGCAUUAGCUAGUUGGUAAGGUAACGGCUUACCAAGGCAACGAUGCAUAGCCGACCUGAGAGGGUGAUCGGCCACACUGGAACUGAGACACGGUCCAGACUCCUACGGGAGGCAGCAGUAGGGAAUUUUCGGCAAUGGGCGAAAGCCUGACGGAGCAACGCCGCGUGAGUGAUGAAGGUCUUCGGAUCGUAAAGCUCUGUUAUUAGGGAAGAACAUAUGUGUAAGAAACUGUGCACAUCUUGACGGUACCUAAUCAGAAAGCCACGGCUAACUACGUG
rnacentral:rRNA from 1 species